UCUCAAACCGACAGUGUGCUCUGUGACCCAAGGCAAGUCUUGGAGCCUUUCAAGGCCUCAAUUUCUUCUGUAACCUUGUGGUUUCACAAUUGUCAACCUUUUGUUCUGCCGACCAUUGUCGUCAUAGUCUUACUUGCAGAGGGCAUAGUGCUGAUGGGACAAGUGACAUGGGUAUGAGCCCCAUGUAAACUAAAACAUAAUUACCUUUCCUUUAGGUGUUGGCUACAGUUAUCCCAAACUUGGACUUGAGGUCUUGUAUAUGCAUGCCAUUGGUCACAUACCAUCAGAAUAGAAUUCUCAAAAACUCUUUAGUAAAUAAGAUAAACAUCCUACUUAUAACAGCUCAUUAUGGAUUUUAUUUUUAUUGUCUGGCUCUUUCAGACCCCAGCAACUGCAAUUCUGACUUAAUAAUCAAUUGUUUCUAAUCAUUAAAAAUGUAUAUAGAAAAACUGAA
rnacentral:lncRNA from 1 species